UACGUAGGGCGCAAGCGUUGUCCGGAAUUAUUGGGCGUAAAGAGCGUGUAGGCGGCCCGAUUAGUCCGCUGUGAAAGUCCAGGGCUCAACCCUGGAAUGCCGGUGGAUACUGUCGGGCUAGAGUCCGGAAGGGGCGAGUGGAAUUCCUGGUGUAGCGGUGAAAUGCGCAGAUAUCAGGAGGAACACCAAUGGCGAAGGCAGCUCGCUGGGACGUGACUGACGCUGAGACGCGAAAGCGUGGGGAGCGAACAGG
rnacentral:rRNA from 1 species